rnacentral:rRNA from 1 species
CCUACGGGGAGCAGCAGUGAGGAAUAUUGGUCAAUGGACGCAAGUCUGAACCAGCCAUGCCGCGUGCAGGAAGACGGCUCUAUGAGUUGUAAACUGCUUUUGUACGAGGGUAAACGCAGAUACGCGUAUCUGUCGGAAAGUCUCGUACGAAUAAGGAUGGGCUAACGCCGUGCCAGCAGCCGCGGUAAUACGGAGGAUUCAAGCGUUAUCAGGAUUUAAUGGGUUUAAAGGUUGCGUAGGCGGUCGGAUAAGUUAGAGGUGAAAGCCCUAGGCUAAACUUCGCAAUUGCCUGUGAUACUGUUCGGCUAGAGAGGAGUUGCGGUAGGCGGAAUGUAUGGUGUAGCGGUGAAAUGCUUAGAGAUCAUACAGAACACCGAUUGCGAAGGCAGCUUACCAAGCUACUUCUGACGUUGAGGCACGAAAGCGUGGGGAGCAAACAGGAUUAGAUACCCCAGUAGUC